GCCAGUAGCCAUAUCACCCAGCAACUCACAUCUGACAACCCACUGAAGCUAGGCAGCUGUGAGCCUGGUCAGUACCUGAAUGGGAGACCUCCUGGGAAAAGCUCAGGCUGCUGCUGGUG
rnacentral:rRNA from 1 species